UACGUAGGCAGCAAGCGUUGUUCGGAGUUACUGGGCGUAAAGGGUGUGUAGGCGGUGAUUUAAGUUUGGUGUGAAAUCUCCCGGCUUAACCGGGAGGGUGCGCCGAAUACUGAAUGACUUGGAGUGCGGGAGAGGAAAGUGGAAUUCCUGGUGUAGCGGUGAAAUGCGUAGAGAUCGGGAGGAACACCGGCGGCGAAGGCGGCCGCCUGGACCGGCCCUGACGCUGAGGCGCGAAAGCUAGGGGAGCAAACAGG
rnacentral:rRNA from 1 species